rnacentral:rRNA from 1 species
UACGUAGGGUGCAAGCGUUGCCCGGAUUUAUUGGGCGUAAAGGGCGCGCAGGCGGCCCGGCGCGUCCGCGGUGAAAGCUCCCGGCUCAACUGGGAGAGGUCCGCGGAAACGGUCGGGCUGGAGCAAGGUAGGGGGUCGUGGAAUUCCGGGUGUAGUGGUGGAAUGCGUAGAGAUCCGGAGGAACACCAGCGGCGAAGGCGGCAUCCUGGACUGGUCCUGACACUCAGGAGCGAAAGCGUGGGGAGCGAUCCGG